UACGAGGGGGGCGAGCGUUGUUCGGAAUUAUUGGGCGUAAAGGGUGCGUAGGCGGCCUGACAAGUCUGAUGUGAAAUCCCUGGGCUCAACCCAGGGCCUGCAUCGGAAACUGUCGGGCUUGAGUAUGGGAGAGGUGAGUGGAAUUUCCGGUGUAGCGGUGAAAUGCGUAGAUAUCGGAAGGAACACCUGUGGCGAAAGCGGCUCACUGGACCAUUACUGACGCUGAGGCACGAAAGCGAGGGGAGCAAACAGG
rnacentral:rRNA from 1 species